CCCUUAUGAGCUGGGCUACACACGUGCUACAAUGGGCGGUACAAAGGGCUGCGAACCCGCGAGGGGGAGCGAAUCCCAAAAAGCCGCUCUCAGUUCGGAUUGCAGGCUGCAACUCGCCUGCAUGAAGCCGGAAUCGCUAGUAAUCGCGGAUCAGCAUGCCGCGGUGAAUACGUUCCCGGGCCUUGUACACACCGCCCGUCACACCACGAGAGCUUGCAACACCCGAAGUCGGUGAGGUAACCCGCAAGGGAGCCAGCCGCCGAAGGUGGGGCAAGUGAUUGGGGUGAAGUCGUAACAAGGUGGCCGUACUGGAAGGU
rnacentral:rRNA from 1 species